GGGGCCGUAGCUCAAUCGGUCAGAGCAGCGGACUCAUAAUCCGUUGGUUGGGGGUUCGAGUCCCUCCGGCCCCA
rnacentral:tRNA from 1 species